ensembl:lncRNA
GUUUGAAUGGCUGUUGGGUAUAUUGACCAUCCUGGCAAUACUUAAUUUUCCAUCUGUGAAGAUCAGAUCUUUUUUUUCUUUUUUUUUUUUCACUGAAGAGGAAAGGAAGAAAAAGUACACUGGUGAAGAGAAAGAGAGACAAUUGCAAAAUUUUCACAAAAGCUGAAGAAAACUCCUUGGUGACAAUCCUGUUUGCUGAACAGGAUUGCCCUAAAGCAGCCAGAGACAGAAGCAAUCUGACUUUCUUACAUUUUUGCCGAGGAUAA